CCACAUCACUCCGCGGCCAGACGGCAGAUGAAUCACGCAUACACAGUCACUACAGAUCCCAUCCAGACUUACGGAGCGGAAUAUAAAUGAAAAUGUUUCUUCUCUGUCAUACUAAAAUAAACCACAGCAUUUAGCCUCUAGUACAAAAACAUAUUGUGGGUGUUUUAUACUCACUUUUUGGUCUCUUCCACGUUAUUCCUCUCUCCUACAACGUUGAUUACAAUUACAUGUAAACUGAGAAAUAUGCAAAUUAGGCGAUGACGUCAUUUAGCGACUUGUAGCGACUUUUAGGACAGCCAACAGCGACUUUCCUUACUGAGGAGUUGGCCACAGUGCUCUCAUCCUCAGUUGUUGGGAGAGAAGCAAGGAGGAAGCAGCUGCAGAACCAGACCAUAUGCUCGUUGGGGACCUCUGUUGCUUUGUGUGCACUCUUGCUAUCUGAACUGGCCAGGUGCUCCUCCUUUGCCUUACGCUGCCAUGCGGUCCAACCACUGAUGGCGAGCUUGAACAAGGCCAGGAGCCUACGGAAGCCCGAAGCGACUCGACUCAAUUCCACCAUUAAUGGUCUGGUAGGAGGCUUCUGCAGCCUUCCUUGAACUCUCAUCUCCUCAAUCGAGCCAUAUUCCCCCACUCACUCAAUUCUUCCUGGACAUUCAGCGCUCUGUCUCCAACUACACUCUUCUUAAUAACUACGUCGCUCAUAUGGCACAGGUGUACCGGACCUUGGUUUUUAUUUAAAACCUGGAACUGGAAUGAACUGUUUCUCAUUGUGCACAUAUGAUUUUGCCGGUUUAAAAUUUGUAUACUCUGUAAAUAUUAUGUUCCUUUGUCAAAUCACUUUAAUAAUUAAUUUAAUAUAA